rnacentral:lncRNA from 1 species
AUGGGCAGAUGGUAUCUCUUUACAAAUUCUUCAAGUUAGCAGUUACAGGCUUCAACUAUGCUGUGGUAGUUAGGAAGAUGGGUCACCAGGACCUCUUCCAUAAGUACAAAAAUAGCACAUAUUCAGGCAUGUAUUCAUACAAUAUUAUUGAUUAUUGAGCAACUCCUACAUACAAGACACUGGUGAAAAAAGCAGUGAAAAAGCUCCUGCUCCAGCGGAGUUUGCAUUCCAGUGGUUGCGACAGAAAAAAUAAAUCAGUAAUUAAUAAAUAUAAUG